UCUUUUAUAAGGUCCGGAGACGUACUCAUAACCUAACAGACUAUGCCAGACAGUUUAAUGAAGAAAAUAUUUCACCACAAGUAUAUUUAAGCACCCGAAGAUGGCUUAGUGUGCUAUGAGUGUUGAGUAAGAGUUACAUGAUCUGAGAUCUCUUCCGCAGCAAGAAGUUGAAGCUUACAGGAAAGCGAGAACCCUCGACAAUUAAUACUUGUGUAUGGUGCUUAGGCUCUCUUGUUGAGACCAGAAGGCAUUCUUUGCCCGAGGGACCGGAACAGGAUGAAAUAAUUGCAAGAUUUUUCCUAGAGAUUCCAUGUGGCUGGUGGCUAUGUAUGUUAUGCGUGCUGGGUUUCAGCAUGUAAAAAUGUGCAAAGAGCCCGGAACUCCUCUCUGAAGGCAAACUCGUGCCAUAACUACUGGGCCAGCAAGAAUUAGCAACCAGGCCCUGUGUUAGUAAGGGUUGUGUAUAAAGCCUCGUCAUCAUUCUGGAAGAAAAAUAUGUACUCGUACAAUCACCAUUGUUUGGUACUUGGGUUGGGCUCGGCUAGUGUCCUGCUAUUGCUGCACCGGCCUCAUUCUUGGAUAAUAUUUUAAUAAGGGAAGAUGAUGAUUGAAUAAAAACUAAUGAAAAUAA